rnacentral:misc_RNA from 1 species
GCUAAACACGCGGGAAAGAAUAAAUUUUCUUGAAUGGAAUGCCUAGCUUCCAUAUCUUGUUACAAAACAACGGCUUUCUUGAUUUUAACAGGCUCAUUGACCAAAUUUUGAUCCUUUGAUCGAGGGCUAUGACUCGAUUUCGAGUGGGUUAUAUCAAUUAAGUUUAAUAACCCAGAGGAAAGUGACUGAUGAAGAAUUAGAAGAUGCCUAAUU